CCGGUGGACUGCCUGUGAAACCGUAUGACUUGAGGGCAGGAGAGGGGAGUGGAAUUCCCGGUGUAGCGGUGAUAUGCGUAGAUAUCGGGAGGAACACCAGUGGCGAAGGCGGCUCUCUGGCCUGUUUCUGACGCUGAGGCGCGAAAGCGUGGGUAGCGAACGGGAUUAGAUACCCCGGUAGUCCACGCCGUAAACGAUGGGUGCUAGGUGUAGGAGGUAUCGACCCCUUCUGUGCCGUAGUUAACACAAUAAGCACC
rnacentral:rRNA from 1 species